rnacentral:lncRNA from 1 species
UUCCCCUUUCUCACCCAGAGUAAACCCAUGAACUACCAGAGUCUUAUAUGGUGCUUUUUUCCUUGUUGCCACACUUGUUAAUAGAGAAGAUUGAAACCAGCCUCCCAGUUGGUCCUUUCCCUCGAGGUAUACAUCUGCUCUUUGCUCUGCACCUUCCAAAACAUGAGCCCAGGAAGUUCCACUAUCGAACCAGAUGUCUAGGACAUCCUGUCCCUUGACGUAAUCCAAAACAUUGUGACCACCAGCCUUUGCUACAGCCUCUUUUGAUAACAGCUGCUCAAUAGGAAGGGUCCACCACGCAUCCGUUCCUUGCUGCUCCACUAUUUUGAUGACAUCUGCG